AUUGAACGCUGGCGGCAUGCUUUACACAUGCAAGUCGAACGGUAACAGGUUAAGCUGACGAGUGGCGAACAGGUGAGUAAUGCAUCGGAACGUGCCCGGUCGUGGGGGAUAACGCAGCGAAAGCUGCGCUAAUACCGCAUACGAUCUGAGGAUGAAAGCGGGGGACCGUAAGGCCUCGCGCGAUCGGAGCGGCCGAUGUCAGAUUAGGUAGUUGGUGGGGUAAAGGCCCACCAAGCCGACGAUCUGUAGCUGGUCUGAGAGGACGACCAGCCACACUGGGACUGAGACACGGCCCAGACUCCUACGGGAGGCAGCAGUGGGGAAUUUUGGACAAUGGGCGAAAGCCUGAUCCAGCAGUGCCGCGUGCAGGAAGAAGGCCUUCGGGUUGUAAACUGCUUUUGUACGGAGCGAAAAGGUCCUUUCUAAUACAAGGGGCUCAUGACGGUACCGUAAGAAUAAGCACCGGCUAACUACGUGCCAGCCGCCGCGGUAA
rnacentral:rRNA from 1 species